CGACGGCCAUCAGUGCAUCAAAUUAUAUAUAUAAAAAAGUAAUGUGUACUUUGAAGACAUCGUUCCUAUCAUAAAAUUCGAAUUCUAGCGAAAUUGAAUUUCAGUAGAAUAGUGAAUUCCGCCUGAAUUACAAGUGUGGAAUUUGCUUUUGGUCAACUUGCAUGACAACUUUUUGUAUUUAUUUAUAUAUAAAUUGGAUGGAUGGCCCUUCUAAUGCCAGCGCAAAAGGAUUCUUAACCUGAAUUCAGAUUCUGUCCAGGAAUCGAAUCCAUGAGCCUGCAGUGCUUUUUAUUCAUGUGUCUUCUUUUCCUGCAGAAACAUCAAUUAUGAGCUCCCUAAAUCUGGAUCUCACUCCACAUUAUCAAAUGAAUAAAUAAAUUUACUUUCUUCCCCACUGCAACUUUCCAUGAUUUCCUUCAGUGUCGCAGGUGCUAAUCAACAUCGUUAACUUUUUCCCAAAUAACAAGUUACAUAAUAUACUUGUUCCUGCAAAACCAGAAUCAUAAGUUUAGGUGCUGGUUCAAUUAUUUCUUGAUGAGUUGGAGCUGUCUACAUACGACCUUGAGCUCGGCUCAACUAAAUACAUGCAACUCGGACUCGACUCUCGCGAGCUCUGACGAAAGUUUAUGGUAAGAAGUCAAUUGUCUGUCUCUAGUCAACAAACUCUUAUGUUGAUCAAGAGGAUUGUUGAUCGCCUAAGAGCCAAAUGAGCCACACUAAUUCAGCUAUGUCAAGAGUCGGCCUAGCCUGGCAGCAUGGGGAACUUUGCCCUAAUUAGUUCAUCGCCUCAGAUUGCAUAUGUGCUUGUCAUCCCAACAGACCACCACCUUCCACAUUCCUUUCUUUCUCGUCCCACACUCUGACGACUGACUUCACUCAACUCACUAGUCACUUCAAGGCCGCCCAACAUCAGCUACUGUCCACCCCAAGUGAAUUGAGACUGAACAAACUCGAAAUCGACCAGAUCCAACCGCCUAGAUGCAUCCUCCCCAACCUUGGCAAACGGACACACGUACACCUUAAACAUUCCUUUCUCUCUUCUCUCUCACACUCUGACAACUGACACAUUCCUUUCUCUCGACUCUCUCACACUCUGACAACUGACGUCACCCUACUCACUACUACACCAUCUUAUUGCAAGGGAUUGCACCAACAUUGGACCAGGUGAUCAGGACCAAGCCUAAGCAAUUCAAGGCCCAACACCAACUAUUGUCCACCCCAAGCGAACAGAGACUGAACAAACUCGAAAUCGAAGUUAGCAAGCUUAACUAUGGAUGGGAUUGGCUUGAUAACCAAGUGACUAGAAGUUCAAGCAAUAACAAGCUAGCUCGAUCAUCGUAUUGCUAGUUCAACUCACAACACUUUGCGAUAGUAAAUUGAAUUGCAAGAUCAGUUGUUUAUCCCCUUCGUAUGAGCACAAGCUGAAGUAUAAACAACAAUUCGUAUAAAAAGAUUGCAUUGCUAAGCUGCAAACCACUAAGAAUAUGGUUCACAGUUUCAACCCUAAACACCGAUUCAUUAACAGAUUCCUCAUUCUAACAACUGCAGAUCAACGAACAAACGGAAUUUGAAGAAAACCAUUUAAGGACAGAGUUUACUCUAAGUUUCUGCAAAUGGAUCAUCGAAAAAUUUGAUCUUGAAUCGAGAGAAAGCUUCUAAUAGCGACUCAUGGAUUGCCGAGAGUUUCUGACCUUGAAUUGAUUACCACUGCUGAUCGCCAUGAAAGGAGUUCACAGAGCUGAAGCUUCUUUCCCCCCUAACUAACCAUCUGAUUAUUUUCAGCCAUGGAAAUGCACCUCCGCCGCCGCCGUCAACUUCCCCACCGACCGAAAACAGCUUCAGCUCCCCCCGCCGCUGUCCGGCGGAUUCUGAAACAGUAACACGCCUUGAUUUUUGAAUAAAACUGCUUGAAAAUAAAUACUAAUUUUGGUAUUGGGUAAGAUAUAUUGUAUUAGUACCGGAACUUUGGUGGCGGUGGUGAGAGAAGGAAGCCCAGAGGCCAGAAGUGCAGAGGAAAACUGAGGGAAGAAGAAUUAGGUAUUUUGAGAACGUGUUGCCGAGUUGGCCAC
rnacentral:lncRNA from 1 species